UGGGGAAUAUUGCGCAAUGGGCGAAAGCCUGACGCAGCGACGCCGCGUGAGGGAUGAAGGUUUUCGGAUCGUAAACCUCUGUCAGAAGGGAAGAAACCGCACUGUGCUAAUCAGAGUGCCUUGACGGUACCUUCAAAGGAAGCACCGGCUAACUCCGUGCCAGCAGCCGCGGUAAUACGGAGGGUGCAAGCGUUACUCGGAAUUACUGGGCGUAAAGCGCACGUAGGCUGCUUUGUAAGUCAGGGGUGAAAUCCCACGGCUCAACCGUGGAACUGCCUUUGAUACUGCUUAGCUUGAAUCCGGGAGAGGGUGGCGGAAUUCCAGGUGUAGGAGUGAAAUCCGUAGAUAUCUGGAGGAACAUCAGUGGCGAAGGCGGCCACCUGGACCGGUAUUGACGCUGAGGUGCGAAAGCGUGGGGAGCAAACAGG
rnacentral:rRNA from 1 species